GGAAAAAGGGAGGGGCAAGCUGAUGGUGAAAAGAGAACUAGGGCUUGUUGUCUCUUAAGCUGUUUCCCACUGUUUAUGGGCAUCAUCAAUUUUGGUGUGUACCAUCAGGAUCCACUUGGUAAAUGUUUUAGGUUCCUCUGUGGACAGCAGCUCUUCUGCCCUAUCUCUUCUGGAUCGGAUGGGGGAAGUGUAGUGGAUUAAUGCAGAUCACUGAGAGGCUUUAUUGCUCCAUUAACUAUGCUCUUACAGGUUGGCAGCCAUUGCACUUGCACAUUUCUUACUCCAAACAGACAAGAAUGGCCUCUGAGAAAUGCUCCUGAAUCUUUUGAAUGCUGUACAUUUUCUUCACUGCCAAAUAGAAACCCAACUUUUGUUUUAGUGACAAACUAAUUAUAUCUUGAAGAAUGGUGACUGUUUCUUGCUUUUUGACUGUGAGUUUAUGCAAGCAGACCAGCGUGGCAAUGUGAUAACCAUGAGCUGACAUGACAUUUUCUUUGGUGAAGCCAGGGCAUCAGUGCCUGAAGAAUUACCAGGAGGGAAGGCAUACAUUCUCCACAUGCACCUCUGGAACUAGUGGUAAGCUUGGCCACCACACUUCAACUCUGGGCCUUGCAGACCCACAUCAGUAUUCCACUAAUCUGAAUCACACGUCAAUGAUGGUUGUGUGUACCCCACAUUUCUGCAGUGUAUAAUCUCUAAGUAUGGACCUCAGCUAUGCUGCCAGAGGCUUCCUGAUACUCUAUAAAGCUGAUGAGUUUUGUGAUAGUGCCAGUGUAUCCUGUAUCAUAUAUGCAAACAUCAUUUCCUUGACACAAAGAAUCACACACACACACACACACACACACACACACACAAA
rnacentral:lncRNA from 1 species